rnacentral:rRNA from 1 species
UAACCAGACUCCUACGGGAGGCAGCAGUGGGGGAUAUUGCACAAUGGGGGGAACCCUGAUGCAGCGACGCCGCGUGGGUGAAGGAGCGUUUCGGCGCGUAAAGCCCUAUCGGCAGGGAAGAAGGAGGACGGUACCUGACUAAGAAGCCCUGGCUAACUACGUGCCAGCAGCCGCGGUAAUACGUAGGGGGCAAGCGUUAUCCGGAUUUACUGGGUGUAAAGGGGGCGCAGACGGCAGCGCAAGCCAGGAGUGAAAGCCCGGGGCCCAACCCCGGGACUGCUCUUGGAACUGCGUGGCUAGAGUGCAGGAGGGGCAGGCGGAAUUCCUGGUGUAGCGGUGAAAUGCGUAGAUAUAUGGAGGAACACCGGUGGCGAAAGCGGCUCUCUGGUCUGUAACUGACGCUGAGGCUCGAAAGCGUGGGGAGCGAACAGGAUUAGAUACCCCCGUACAU